GCCGGGCGCGGUGGCUCAUGCCUGUAAUCCCAGCACUUUGGGAGGCCGAGGCAGGAGAACCGCUUGAACCUGGGUGACAGAGGUUACAGUAAGCUGAGAUUGUGCCACUGCAUUCCAGCCUGGGUGACAGAGGNUGCUCUGUCACCCAGGCUGGAAUGCAGUGGCACAAUCUCAGCUUACUGUAACCUCUGUCACCCAGGUUCAAGCGGUUCUCCUGCCUCAG
rfam:Chlorocebus sabaeus isolate 1994-021 chromosome 20, whole genome shotgun sequence.